UNCUAUGUAAAGUAGCCUCAAAUGUUUUC
rnacentral:piRNA from 1 species